rnacentral:rRNA from 1 species
UACGGAGGAUCCGAGCGUUAUCCGGAUUUAUUGGGUUUAAAGGGUGCGUAGGCGGUUUGAUAAGUUAGAGGUGAAAUGUCGGGGCUCAACCCCGAAACUGCCUCUAAUACUGUUGGACUAGAGAAUAGUUGCGGUAGGCGGAAUGUAUGGUGUAGCGGUGAAAUGCUUAGAGAUCAUGCAGAACACCGAUUGCGAAGGCAGCUUACCAAACUAUAUCUGACGUUGAGGCACGAAAGCGUGGGUAGCAAACAGG